AUUGAACGCUGGCGGCAGGCCUAACACAUGCAAGUCGAGCGGAUGAAGGGAGCUUGCUCCUGGAUUCAGCGGCGGACGGGUGAGUAAUGCCUAGGAAUCUGCCUGGUAGUGGGGGAUAACGUCCGGAAACGGGCGCUAAUACCGCAUACGUCCUGAGGGAGAAAGUGGGGGAUCUUCGGACCUCACGCUAUCAGAUGAGCCUAGGUCGGAUUAGCUAGUUGGUGGGGUAAAGGCCUACCAAGGCGACGAUCCGUAACUGGUCUGAGAGGAUGAUCAGUCACACUGGAACUGAGACACGGUCCAGACUCCUACGGGAGGCACCAGUGGGGAAUAUUGGACAAUGGGCGAAAGCCUGAUCCAGCCAUGCCGCGUGUGUGAAGAAGGUCUUCGGAUUGUAAAGCACUUUAAGUUGGGAGGAAGGGCAGUAAGUUAAUACCUUGCUGUUUUGACGUUACUAACAGAAUAAGCACCGGCUAACUUCGUG
rnacentral:rRNA from 1 species